CACACAGUGGCCUGGCUUGCCAGCUGCCCCAGCCCUGCGAGGCAGAUGAGGGGCUGGGUGAGGAAGAGGAUAGCAGCUCUGAGCGAAGCUCCUGCACCUCGUCCUCCACCCACCAGAGAGAUGGGAAGUUCUGUGACUGCUGCUACUGUGAGUUCUUCGGCCACAAUGCGGCAAAAGGAAAGGAAAUGGCAGAGAGAAAGCUAUGAUUCUGAUGACCACCCGCUGCCCCGACGAGUCGGAACUAUACCGAGAUCCGGGAGAAGCUCCGCUCGAGGCUGACCAGGCGGAAAGAGGAGCUGCCCAUGAAGGGGGGCACCCUGGGCGGGAUCCCUGGGGAGCCCGCCGUGGACCACCGAGAUGUGGAUGAGCUGCUGGAAUUCAUCAACAGCACGGAGCCCA
rnacentral:sRNA from 1 species